GUGGAGAAGCUACUAAGGGCUUACGGUGGAUGCCUUGGCGCUAAGUGCCGAUGAAGGACGCGGGACACUGCGAUAAGCCUCGGGUAGCCGUGUACAGGCUUUGAUCCGGGGAUUUCCGAAUGGGGAAACCCGCUGUGGCGAUCCCACAGCACCGGCGGCUGAAUAUAUAAGCCUGCCGGGGGGCACCUGGGGAACUGAAACAUCUAAGUACCCAGAGGAAAAGAGAUUAUUUCCCUAGUAGUGGCGAGCGAACGGGAACCAGCCCAAACCAGAGAGGCUUGCUUCUUUGGGGUUGUAGGGUCCGGCAUAUGGAAGUUACAAAUCAAUCUGCUAGCAGAAUGGUAUGGGAAAGCCUACCAAAGAGGGUAAUAGUCCCGUAUGCGAAAGUGGAUUGACUUCCGCUGGAUACCUGAGUACUGCCGGGCACGCUAAUCCGGUAGGAAUCUGGGGAGUCCACUCCCCAAGGCUAAAUACACUUGGCGACCGAUAGUGAACAAGUACCGUGAGGGAAAGGUGAA
rnacentral:rRNA from 1 species